AGACAAUAAGUAAGUAAACUGAUUACGGAAAGAAGUAUUACAGAGUACCUUAAGUUUUUAUGGAAAAAAUACAUACUGGGUGAUUAGAUCCAGGGUGACUAAAAGAUGCCAUUCUAGAUUAAAUGCUAAGGUAAGGACUCAUAUGUGAGUCAAGACCUGAUGGAAGAAGGUUUUAAAAGCACAACACAGAACAGGAGAAACUGGGUUCUAGGCAGAAGGAAACAGAACUUUCCAACAAUGGCGGGUGGACCAUCCAUCUUUACUGAACCUUGUAAUAGGAGGCAUGAAGGAUGAGAAGAUUUUAUUGCCACCGGGAAACCCCCAGCCACACAGGAUAGAAAAUGGCAGGAAGAAAUAAUGAUGUAAAGAGCAGAAAUGGCUACAGAGGUAAUUAUGGGCUAGAAGUGAUAUCACCAGGAAGGUGACAGUGGUAGAUCCUGACUUUGCACCCCUGCCCAAGAAUUGAAAACAUUCUAGAAUGUGAAGGUGAGGCUGAAGCACCUCUGCACCACAACCACAGAGAAAGAAGAAAAACAUGAAAAUUGGGGGCUCAGAGAGAGACUUACUGCCCAUGUGCGUGCACACUUAGUGCCCACCAAGAAGCCCUCAGCUAAAUGACUCCAUGGCUGCAAAAAUGUAUGACCUUGAACAGCACAUCAAGCCCCUGUCUGUUCGCCCUAUGCGCCAGGUCAUUCCGGAGAAACAAGGUCUGAGGUACCCUGGGACCCCAGCCGCAGCUCCAGCAGCUCCUCCCAAACUACAGCCUCUUGGAUAUGAACAGCAGAGCCCAGAUUCCUUCACAGCCGACCUGGGGCUAACCUCCUCCAGGAUCUGUCCCUCUGUCUGCUGCAUGAUGGAAAGACAAGGACUUUCAACAGGUGGCAUGAGGCCAGGGAAACAGCCUCCAUACACACUCGCACUGAUCGUGUUAAUCAGUCUGUUUAAGAAGCAGACUAAAGAUGAAGAUCAUUAAGCUACGAUUCAUACCAACAAUAUAUAAUUAAAAAGUUAAAAAAAAAAAAAAAGAGGGGUGCCUGGGGGGUCAGUUGUUAAAGCCUCUGCCUUCAGCUUGGGUCAUGAUCUCAGGGUCCUGGGAUCAAGCCCCACAUUGGAGUCUCUGCUCAGCAGGGAGCCUGCUUCCUCCUCUCUCUCUCUGCCUGCCUUUCUGCCUACUUGUGAUUUCUCUGUCAAAUAAAUAAAUAAAAUCUUAAAUAAAAAAAAGAAAGAAAACCUGUUUGCCUCACUGCUUUCA
rnacentral:lncRNA from 1 species